UUCCCAGACUCCUACGGGAGGCAGCAGUGGGGAAUAUUGGACAAUGGGGGGAACCCUGAUCCAGCGACGCCGCGUGAGUGAAGAAGUAUUUCGGUAUGUAAAGCUCUAUCAGCAGGGAAGAAAGAAAUGACGGUACCUGACUAAGAAGCCCCGGCUAACUACGUGCCAGCAGCCGCGGUAAUACGUAGGUGGCAAGCGUUGUCCGGAUUUACUGGGUGUAAAGGGCGUGCAGCCGGAGAGACAAGUCAGAUGUGAAAUCCACGGGCUCAACCCGUGAACUGCAUUUGAAACUGUUCCCCUUGAGUGUCGGAGAGGUAAUCGGAAUUCCUUGUGUAGCGGUGAAAUGCGUAGAUAUAAGGAAGAACACCAGUGGCGAAGGCGGAUUACUGGACGAUAACUGACGGUGAGGCGCGAAAGCGUGGGGAGCAAACAGGAUUAGAUACCCUCGUA
rnacentral:rRNA from 1 species